AUAAGUGGACUCAAACUUUGUUACGAGGACAUAUUUUCAGGGCAGGGCAAGGGAUGAGUCAUAGGUAUCAUAUGGAAAAAUCAUAGCGGAGCCGCGCGCGGAGCCCCAUAGGUAUAGAAAUGGUCUAUAACUAGGCGACUCAGUUUUUUUGGUCAAUGACGUCAUUGUCACAAGCUGCCAGCCAGCCGCGAUCUGCCUCGGCACAGGCCUCCAGAGCGCGCAAAACAAUAUGGCGGAUGAGUAUUUCUACCCCUCUCAAAAACACACGAAAACUGACUGCAGAAAUGCCAAGAAUUGUCGAAAAAGAAGUUCUUGAAAACAAUCAUUCGUGGGAAUGCUAACCACGGAUAUGAACUUGUCUAAUUAUAUGCAAAAGACUGUGUAAAAGCAUGGUUGAAAGUUUUUAGUCUUUGUGCUCGAGUCAAGGUCAGCUGAAAUGUCAGAGUAAGCCACAAGAUAAAGAAAGAAAAAACAAGCUAAUUAUAUGGACACCUUCUCCGACAAGUGCUCCUAUGUAUUUAUUCUUGCACUAGCAGACGUAGGUUAAUCUCAGCCAGAGAUUCUGAAAUCAAGCUGAGACACAAGCUGCUGGCUAAGAGGCAUGACCAGGGCAUGAUGUAUACAUAUAAGGCAUUGGUAUUUAAUGUAGGUCACCAAAAAUAAACACAUAUAAAGCAACAAAAAGUAAGAUAAUAUUUUAAUGGAAAAAUUGUUCUAAAAAAAUGAACUAGAGUUAUAAAAGUAAAAAACCUAGUUUUUUUUUCAAGUUAGCCUGACAGGUUCUUGUAUAAUGUGUGGUUAGUGACAUUUAGGCUAUUUAGGUUCAUAGUCUCUUGCUAUUACAAUGAAUCAUGGUAAAUUAAUUGAGGUAGUAAGUUAAUCAUAAAAAUCAAAAACAGGUCUCCUAUAUGAUCCCUUAAGAUCAUAUUUUUAAAACUAUUUAGAAAUCAAUUUUCUUAUUUCAACCUAUUUCAAAUUAUAGGCUUAAUAGAUGCUUAUAAAAAGGAUUAUAAUUCGAUAAUUUUAGGUUAACAGGUUUAUUCUAGGUUCUUAUAUGUGGUUCUUAACUGUAUAAUAAAAUAAUGUACUCAGAAUUUUUUCAAAAUAUGUUGGAGUGCUUUUAAUCCACCCUUAGCAAAGUUACAUUCUAAAACACAAGAGAGAAGGUUAAUAAAGAUAUUUUUCCAACUUUUGAAUUGCUUACUUUGAAACUUACACAAGAGAAAGAAAAUGAUAAAGCCCUAUAUUUGCAAGUUAAGUAAAGUAAUUUAAAUAAGUAAAAGGAAGUGGGACAGAACAGGCAGGGAAUUAGUACUUAUACCUUAAAUCCACUAUGAUAGUGUGAUUUGCUAAUAUACUUAUUAAUGUAUAGAAAUUUGAUAUGUAUUUGUUUAUUGUUUUUAAUUUUGAAGAGAAUAAAAUAGCACCCAAUUUUGGUGAGGAACUGUAAUUGAUCCUCAUUUUAAAAUAAAUACGACCUCCCUUCACACUUGAAAGCCUUCCCUGUUAAUCAAAGUAUAAAUUUAUUUUGCUACUUUUGCUGUAUCAGUUGUCUAUCAAGAAUAGUUUAGUUAAUGAUAUCCUUGUCGAUAAAUAAAUGUCAAUAAAUACUUUAUUUUACCUUCAACAAAAAA